AACGAACGCUGGCGGCAUGCCUAACACAUGCAAGUCGAACGAGACCUUCGGGUCUAGUGGCGUACGGGUGCGUAACGCGUGGGAACCUGCCCUUAGGUUCGGAAUAACUCCCCGAAAGGGGUGCUAAUACCGGAUAAUGUCUUCGGACCAAAGAUUUAUCGCCUUUGGAUGGGCCCGCGUUGGAUUAGCUAGUUGGUAGGGUAAGAGCCUACCAAGGCGACGAUCCAUAGCUGGUCUGAGAGGAUGAUCAGCCACACUGGGACUGAGACACGGCCCAGACUCCUACGGGAGGCAGCAGUGGGGAAUAUUGGACAAUGGGCGAAAGCCUGAUCCAGCAAUGCCGCGUGAGUGAUGAAGGCCUUAGGGUUGUAAAGCUCUUUUACCCGGGAUGAUAAUGACAGUACCGGGAGAAUAAGCUCCGGCUAACUCCGUG
rnacentral:rRNA from 1 species